rnacentral:rRNA from 1 species
UACAGAGGGUGCGAGCGUUAAUCGGAAUACUGGGCGUAAAGCGUGCGUAGACGGUUAUUUAAGUCGGGUGUGAAAGCCCCGGGCUCAACCUGGGAAUUGCAUUCGAGACUGAAUAGCUAGGGUACGGUAGAGGGAAGUGGAAUUUCCGGUGUAGCGGUGAAAUGCGUAGAUAUCGGAAGGAACAUCAGUGGCGAAAGCGACUCCUGGACCAGUACCGACGUCAGGCACGAAAGCGUGGGGAGCAAACAGG